CUGCAAAAGCAAACACAAACACAACUGCAAUGAAGGCGAGGAAGAGAGAUACUCAAAGUUUAUACGAUAAAUCAAGAACAGAAUAUUCAUCGUAAGUGACGGGAAUCGACCAUAGAUAAACAACCUGUUUGGCUAACUUAUUUU